CAUAGCGACUAUCGUGGCAUAUCAAUAAGCGGAGGAAAAGAAACUAACAAGGAUUCCCUUAGUAACGGCGAGUGAAGCGGGAAGAGCUCAAAUUUGAAAUCUUCAAGGUUUUACCUUGACGAAUUGUAGUUUAAAGAAGUGUUUUCUGUUGGAGUUUUGGUAAAAGUUCUUUGGAAUAGGACAUCAUAGAGGGUGAGAAUCCCGUAUUUGACCAUUAUUUCAGCUUUGUGAUACACUUUCAAAGAGUCGGAUUGUUUGGGAAUGCAGUCCAAAAUGGGUGGUAAAUUUCAUCUAAAGCUAAAUAUUGGCGAGAGACCGAUAGCGAACAAGUACCGUGAGGGAAAGAUGAAAAGAACUUUGAAAAGAGAGUUAAACAGUACGUGAAAUUGUCAAAAGGGAAGCGUUUGACACCAGUGUUGUUUUCUCGAAAAUCAAUUAAAAAGCUUGAUUCAUGUAGGUUGUUAUGACCUUAUCAGCCUACUGCACUUUAGUUCAUGGUCUCUUUUUGAUGCACUUUUCGGUUAACAAGUCAACAUCUAUUUCCUUUGUUGUAAAAGGUAAUGAGGAAGGUGGCUUUCAAUUUCGGUAGAAGUGUUUAUAGCCUUGUAUCUCUGCAGUCGGAGAGAUUGAGGUCUGCAGCGUAGAUCCUUCGGGGUUAGAUACAUUUAUGCUAAGUUAUAGCUUUUCAUAGACAACUUGUUGACUAUGUUUAGUCUUGUAGCUUACUCGCUUAUGCUAUUUUACCUACGCUUAGGAUGUUGACGAGACUGUCGAUCUC
rnacentral:rRNA from 1 species